UACGUAGGCAGCGAGCGUUGUUCGGAGUUACUGGGCGUAAAGCGUGCGUAGGCGGUGUCUUAAGUUUGUUGUGAAAUCUCCCGGCUUAACCGGGAGGGUGCGGCGAAUACUGAGAUGCUGGAGUGCGGGAGAGGUAAGCGGAAUUCCUGGUGUAGCGGUGAAAUGCGUAGAUAUCAGGAGGAACACCUGCGGUGUAGACGGCUUACUGGACCGUAACUGGACGCUGAGGAGCGAAAGCGUGGGGAGCGAACAGG
rnacentral:rRNA from 1 species